CCUACGGGGGGCAGCAGUGAGGAAUAUUGGUCAAUGGGCGUAAGCCUGAACCAGCCAAGUCGCGUGAGGGAUGAAGGUUCUAUGGAUCGUAAACCUCUUUUAUAAGGGAAUAAAAUGUGGGACGUGUCCUAUUUUGUAUGUACCUUAUGAAUAAGGAUCGGCUAACUCCGUGCCAGCAGCCGCGGUAAUACGGAGGGUCCGAGCGUUAACCGGAUUUAUUGGGUUUAAAGGGUGCGUAGGCGGCCUUUUAAGUCAGCGGUGAAAGUCUGUGGCUCAACCAUAGAAUUGCCGUUGAAACUGGGGGGCUUGAGUAUGUUUGAGGCAGGCGGAACGCGUGGUGUAGCGGUGAAAUGCUUAGAUAUAACGCAGAACCCCGAUUGCGAAGGCAGCCUGCCAAGCCAUGACUGACGCUGAUGCACGAAAGCGUGGGGAUCAAACAGGAUUAGAUACCCUUGUAGUC
rnacentral:rRNA from 1 species